rnacentral:rRNA from 1 species
GACAGAUGUGCCGAGCGUUAAGCGGAAUCACUGGGCUUAAAGCGUGUGUAGGCGGGCGGGCAAGUACCUUGUGAAAUCCCACGGCUCGACCGUGGAACGGCUGGGUAUACUGCCUGUCUUGAGCCAACUAGGGGCGAGCGGAACAGACGGUGGAGCGGUGAAAUGCGUAGAUAUCGUCUGGAACGCCAAAGGUGAAAACAGCUCGCUGGGGUUGUGCUGACGCUGAGACACGAAAGCCAGGGGAGCGAACGGG